rfam:Salmo salar isolate Sally breed double haploid chromosome ssa25, whole genome shotgun sequence.
AAUGCACCAAUUUGUAAGUCGCUCUGGAUAAGCGCAUCUGCUAAAUGACGUAAA